UGGGGAGUGGUGCGAGAGGCCUAAGCCGCUGGAUUCUGAAUCCAGUUUUCGUCGGUUCGAAUCCGACCUCCCCUGCCA
rnacentral:tRNA from 1 species